rnacentral:rRNA from 1 species
UUGACCUCAAAUCAGGUAGGACUACCCGCUGAACUUAAGCAUAUCAAUAAGCGGAGGAAAAGAAACUAACAAGGAUUCCCCUAGUAACUGCGAGUGAAGCGGGAAAAGCUCAAAUUUAAAAUCUGGUAGUCUUUGGCUGCCCGAGUUGUAAUCUAGAGAAGCAUUAUCUGCGUUGGACUGUGUAUAAGUGUCCUGGAAUGGACCAUCAUAGAGGGUGAGAAUCCCGUCUUUGACACAGACUCCCAGUGCUUUGUGAUGUGCUCUCAAAGAGUCGAGUUGUUUGGGAAUGCAGCUCUAAAUGGGUGGUAAAUUCCAUCUAAAGCUAAAUAUUGGCGAGAGACCGAUAGCGAACAAGUACCGUGAGGGAAAGAUGAAAAGAACUUUGGAAAGAGAGUUAAACAGUACGUGAAAUUGCUGAAAGGGAAACGCUUGA